UACGAAGGGGGCUAGCGUUGUUCGGAAUUAUUGGGCGUAAAGAGCUCGUAGGCGGUUUGUCGCGUCUGCUGUGAAAACCCGAGGCUCAACCUCGGGCCUGCAGUGGGUACGGGCAGACUAGAGUGCGGUAGGGGAGAUUGGAAUUCCUGGUGUAGCGGUGGAAUGCGCAGAUAUCAGGAGGAACACCAAUGGCGAAGGCAGAUCUCUGGGCCGUAACUGACGCUGAGGAGCGAAAGCAUGGGGAGCGAACAGG
rnacentral:rRNA from 1 species